CCGUGGCUGACGGGUGAGUAACUUACCCUGCACAUGCCUAUAACAGACGAAUACCACUGAUAAUUUACGGUACAUUUGCCAUCACCCGUGUGCCCCGCAAGGAACAUUGAUGUUGCAUGUAUCCUUUACGUCCGGUCUUGUUGCUGAUUAGGUAAUUGGUGAGAUAACCGAUCACCAGUGCCCCGAUUGAUAGGCGGAUUGGCAGGUUGGGCAGUGACAUUGGGACCGAACCCCUACCCAAACUCCUACGGGGGGAUAUUGUCCAAUGGGGGGCACCCUGAUCGAAACUCUGAUGGUGCGACACCAAGGAUUUCGGAUUGGUCUUAGCUUUGUAAGCUAUUGACGAGUGUGACGAAACUGGCCAACAAAGCGAGAAGCCCUGGCUGCCAUGUGCCAGCAGCCGCGGUAUGUACAUAUGCGGGCGAGCGGAAUCCGGAUUUAUUGGGUGUUCUAGGUGCGUCAGGCAGGUCUGGGGUGAAAAUGUGAAAUUCCUCGGCUCAACUGCCCGAACUGCUGUUGAAACUAUUUUUCUUGAGAGGUGAACGGGGAAUGCGCGAUUUCCUAGUGAAAUUCGUGAAAUGCGUACAGGAUAUGCCAGGAACUCAAGAUGGCUCACUCGACUUGUCUGUGAAACAACUGACGCUUAAGGUACGAGAGUGUAGCGGAAAUAACAUACACUUAGGAUACCCCUAGCCGUCCCA
rnacentral:rRNA from 1 species